CGAGAUGAGGACUCCCACCCACUUGAUGGGGUAAGGCUCCCAGUAGACGACUGGGUUGAUAGGCCGGAUCUGGAAGCCAGGUAACUGGUGGAGGUGACCGGUACUAAUAGGCCGAGGGCUUGUCCU
rnacentral:rRNA from 1 species